rnacentral:rRNA from 1 species
GACGAACGCUGGCGGCGUGCCUAAUACAUGCAAGUCGAACGCUGAAGGAGGAGCUUGCUUCUCUGGAUGAGUUGCGAACGGGUGAGUAACGCGUAGGUAACCUGCCUGGUAGCGGGGGAUAACUAUUGGAAACGAUAGCUAAUACCGCAUAAUAGCAGUUGUUGCAUGACAACUGUUUGAAAGGUGCAAUUGCACCACUACCAGAUGGACCUGCGUUGUAUUAGCUAGUUGGUGGGGUAACGGCUCACCAAGGCGACGAUACAUAGCCGACCUGAGAGGGUGAUCGGCCAAACUGGGACUGGGACACGGCCCAGACUCCUACGGGAGGCAGCAGUAGGGAAUCUUCGGCAAUGGACGGAAGUCUGACCGAGCAACGCCGCGGGAGUGAAGAAGGUUUUCGGAUCGUAAAGCUCUGUUGUAAGAGAAGAACGAGUGUGAGAGUGGAAAGUUCACACUGUGACGGUAUCUUACCAGAAAGGGACGGCUAACUACGUG